CAUUAUUGAAUUAACUGGGGUUGUAGCUGGCCGAAAGGCAUGUGCACGCCCCGUAACCAAACCAACCACCUGUGCACCUUUUGUAGGUUGGGCCUUCGGGCUCUUCCUAUGUAUCACACAAACCAAUCGUAUGUCUAUUGAAUGUAAACCUGAAGCGUGGAAACACGUUUUAAAAGCUUUAAACAACUUUCAACAACGGAUCUCUUGGCUCUCGCAUCGAUGAAGAACGCAGCGAAAUGCGAUAACUAAUGUGAAUUGCAGAAUUCAGUGAAUCAUCGAGUUUUUGAACGCACCUUGCGCUCCUUGGCAUUCCUUGGAGCAUGCCUGUUUGAGUGUCAUGAAAUUCUCAACUCUUCCAACCUUUUGUGGGUCUGGUCGAGCUUGGACUUGGAGGUACAUUGCUGGCCGAUAGGUCGGCUCCUCUUGAAUGCAUUAGCUGAACCCGCAGUGGAUCGGUCGCUCGGUUUGAUAAAAACGUCUAUGCCGUCUUCCGUGAAGCCUCGAAAGUGGGAUUCGCUUCCAAUCGUCUUCGGACAUCGCCUUCGGGCGAUCACUGACCAUUUUGACCUCAAAUCAGGUAGGACUACCCGCUGAACUUAAGCAUAUCAAUA
rnacentral:sRNA from 1 species